rnacentral:rRNA from 1 species
ACUGGCUACUGUGCCAGCUGGUGAAUGGCUCGGCUCGAGAGCCGAUGAAGGACGUGCCAAGCUGCGAAAAGCUCGUGGGACCCGCAUGGAGGGAAAGAACACGAGGUUUCCGAAUCGGAAUCCGUUUACAAUUGCCACGCGCAAUAGGGAACUCCCUGAAUUGAAACAUCUCAGUAAGGGAAGGAAAAGAACGCAAUAGCGAUGUCGUCAGUAACCGCGAGUGACCGCGACACAGCCCAAACCGAAGGUCUUCGGACCAAUGUGGUGUUCGGGUUGACAAUCAAUUCUCGAUCCGGUAUCUGAAGUCUCCUGGAACGGAGCGUGAAACAGGGUGACAACCCCGUAAGAUACCGCAGUACAGAAGGCGUCAAUACCAGAGUAGCAGGGGUCGGAUAUCCUCUGUGAACAACUCAGGCAUCCCCUGAGAAGGCUAAACACUCCUCGAGACCGAUAGCGAACAAGUAGCGUGAGCGAACGCUGAAAAGCACCCCGAGAAGGGCGGUGCAAUAGGGCCUGAAAUCAGCUGGCGAUCGAGCGACAGGGCGUACAAGGCGAUUCUUGAAACGACCGAGGAGCGAUCCUCUAGUAGGAAGAGAAUCGAGCCGGCGUCGUGUCGUGCGUUUUGAAAAACGACCCAGGGAGUGCACUUGAUUGGCGAGUCUAACCCGUGAACCGGGGAAGGCGCAGGGAAACCGAUACGGCCGCAGCAUUGCGAGGGCCACCGUGUUCAAGCGCGGGGAGUCAAUUGGGUGCGACCCGAAACCAGGCGAUCUAUACGCAGGCAGGGUGAAGCGUGGCGAAAGCCACGUGGAGGCCCGUUAGAGUUGGUAUUCUACAAUAUCCUCUCGUGAUCUGCGCAUAGGGGUGAAAGGCCCAUCGAGCCUGGCAACAGCUGGUUCCAACCGAAACAUGUCGAAGCAUGACCUCUUCCGAGGUAGCCCGCGGGGUAGAGCUACCGAUUGGAUGACCCGCCUCCGAGAGGAGUCGGCCAUCCUGUCGAACUCCAAACCCGCAGGCGCUGUAGACGAAGGGAGUCCGGUGUGCGGGGUAAGCCUGUGCACCGUGAGGGGAACAACCCAGAGCCGGGUUAAGGUCCCAAAGUGUAGAUUAAGUGCGAUUCGAAGGUGGUCUCAAGCCCUAAACAGCCGGGAGGUGAGCUUAGAAGCAGCUACCCUCUAAGAAAAGCGUAACAGCUUACCGGCCGAGGUUUGAGGCGCCCAAAAUGAUCGGGGCUCAAAUCUACCACCGAGACCUGGCCGUGCCCUUGACAGGGGCAACCGCGUAGGUUGGCGUUCUGUUCGGAUGGAAGCUCGGGCGAGAGCUCGCGUGGACCGUUCAGAAACGACAAUCCUGGUCACAGUAGCAGCGAUAGUCGGGUGAGAACCUCGACGGCCUGAUGAGCAAGGGUUCCUCGGCACUGCCACUCAGCCGAGGGUCAGCCGGUCCUAAGAUGCACCGUAACUCGACUGCAUCAACGGGAAACUGGUUAAGAUUCCAGUGCCAUCGUGCAGUGAAAGUCGACGCCGUGUGGAACGCUGAGCCGGGCUUUCGCCCGGUCAAAUCGUGGAAUCUCGUGGACGCCGUCAUGGCACGAAGCGAGAGAAGCGCGAGAUAGCGCAAGUCAGCCGUACAUAGGGCCCGUGAAAAGACGAGCACGAUGUCCGUACCGAGAUCCGACACAGGUGCUCUGGCAGCGCAAGCCAAGGCCUGUCGGGAGAACCGACGUUAGGGAAUUCGGCAAGUUAGUCCCGUACCUUCGGAAGAAGGGAUGCCUGCUCUCGACGGAGCAGGUCGCAGUGACUCGGGCGCUCCGACUGUCUAAUAACAACACAGGUGACCGCAAAUCCGCAAGGACUCGUACGGUCACUGAAUCCUGCCCAGUGCGGGUAUCUGAACACCUCGUACAAGAGGACGAAGGACCCGUCAACGGCGGGGGUAACUAUGACCCUCUUAAGGUAGCGUAGUACCUUGCCGCUUCAGUAGCGGCUUGCAUGAAUGGAUAAACGAGAGCGCCACUGUCCCAACGUUGGACCCGGUGAACUGUACGUUCCAGUGCGGAGUCUGGAGACCCCCAAGGGGAAGCGAAGACCCUAUAGAGCUUUACUGCAGGCUGUCGCUGAGACGUGGUCGCCGAUGUGCAGCAUAGGUAGGAGUCAUUACACAGGUACCCGCGCCAGCGGGCCACCGAG